UACGAAGGGGGCUAGCGUUGUUCGGAAUUACUGGGCGUAAAGCGUGCGCAGGCGGCUUCUCAAGUCAGGGGUGAAAGCCCUGAGCUCAACUCUGGAAUUGCCUUUGAGACUGAGUGGCUUGAGUACGAGAGAGGUGAGUGGAAUUCCCAGUGUAGAGGUGAAAUUCGUAGAUAUCGGGAGGAACACCUGUGGCGAAAGCGGCGCACUGGACCACAACUGACGCUGAGGCGCGAAAGCUAGGGGAGCAAACAGG
rnacentral:rRNA from 1 species